rnacentral:rRNA from 1 species
GACGAACGCUGGCGGCGUGCUUAACACAUGCAAGUCGAACGGAAAGGCCCUGCUUUUGUGGGGUGCUCGAGUGGCGAACGGGUGAGUAACACGUGAGUAACCUGCCCUUGACUUUGGGAUAACUUCAGGAAACUGGGGCUAAUACCGGAUAGGAGCUCCUGCUGCAUGGUGGGGGUUGGAAAGUUUCGGCGGUUGGGGAUGGACUCGCGGCUUAUCAGCUUGUUGGUGGGGUAGUGGCUUACCAAGGCUUUGACGGGUAGCCGGCCUGAGAGGGUGACCUGCCACAUUGGGACUGAGAUACGGCCCAGAAUCCUACGGGAGGCAGCAGUGGGGAAUAUUGCACAAUGGGCGGAAGCCUGAUGCAGCAACGCCGCGUGCGGGAUGACGGCCUUCGGGUUGUAAACCGCUUUCGCCUGUGACGAAGCGUGAGUGACGGUAAUGGGUAAAGAAGCACCGGCUAACUACGUG